ACUGGGCACAGGGGAUUGUGCCUGUAGUCCCAGCUACUUGGGAGGCCGAGGCAGGAGGAUCACUUGAGCCCAGGAGUUUGAGGCUGCCAUGAGCUAUGAUUGCACCUGUGAAUAGCCACCACACUCUAGCCCGGGCAACAAAGUGAAAACAUGUCUCUU
rnacentral:SRP_RNA from 1 species